AGCGGGCAUAGUUUAUCGGUAGAACGCUUCCUUGCCAAGGAAGGGGGAUGGGUUCGAUUCCCAUUGCCCGCUU
rnacentral:tRNA from 1 species